GGGGGACCCUGAUCCAGCCAUGCCGCGUGUGUGAAGAAGGCCUUAUGGUUGUAAAGCACUUUAAGCGAGGAGGAGGCUACUAGUAUUAAUACUACUGGAUAGUGGACGUUACUCGCAGAAUAAGCACCGGCUAACUCUGUGCCAGCAGCCGCGGUAAUACAGAGGGUGCGAGCGUUAAUCGGAUUUACUGGGCGUAAAGCGUGCGUAGGCGGCCAUUUAAGUCAAAUGUGAAAUCCCCGAGCUUAACUUGGGAAUUGCAUUCGAUACUGGAUGGCUAGAGUAUGGGAGAGGAUGGUAGAAUUCCAGGUGUAGCGGUGAAAUGCGUAGAGAUCUGGAGGAAUACCGAUGGCGAAGGCAGCCAUCUGGCCUAAUACUGACGCUGAGGUACGAAAGCAUGGGGAGCAAACAGGAUUAGAUACCCUGGUAGUCCAUGCCGUAAACGAUGUCUACUAGCCGUUGGGGCCUUUGAGGCUUUAGUGGCGCAGCUAACGCGAUAAGUAGACCGCCUGGGGAGUACGGUCGCAAGACUAAAACUCAAAUGAAUUGACGGGGGCCCGCACAAGCGGUGGAGCAUGUGGUUUAAUUCGAUGCAACGCGAAGAACCUUACCUGGCCUUGACAUACUAGAAACUUUCCAGAGAUGGAUUGGUGCCUUCGGGAAUCUAGAUACAGGUGCUGCAUGGCUGUCGUCAGCUCGUGUCGUGAGAUGUUGGGUUAAGUCCCGCAACGAGCGCAACCCUUUUCCUUACUUGCCAGCAUUUCGGAUGGGAACUUUAAGGAUACUGCCAGUGACAAACUGGAGGAAGGCGGGGACGACGUCAAGUCAUCAUGGCCCUUACGGCCAGGGCUACACACGUGCUACAAUGGUCGGUACAAAGGGUUGCUACCUAGCGAUAGGAUGCUA
rnacentral:rRNA from 1 species